rnacentral:rRNA from 1 species
UACGUAGGGCGCAAGCGUUAUCCGGAAUUAUUGGGCGUAAAGAGCUCGUAGGCGGUUUGUCGCGUCUGCCGUGAAAGUCCGGGGCUCAACUCCGGAUCUGCGGUGGGUACGGGCAGACUAGAGUGAUGUAGGGGGAGACUGGAAUUUCCUGGUGUAGCGGUGAAAUGCGCAGAUAUCAGGAGGAACACCGAUGGCGAAGGCAGGUCUCUGGGCAUUAACUGACGCUGAGGAGCGAAAGCAUUGGGGGAGCGAACAGG